CUUUGCACAUAAAACUCCGUCAAGGUUAAGUCUGAAUCUUCUUUUGCUUAUACGGGAUAAUUUGUUUUGAUAAAACUAACAUUAUCGAUGUUACCUUUAAACGUUAGUCGUCUUUUGUUUGCUAUUUAAAUGUCUCGUAUGAUAAAUUGAUUGAUUAAAAAUGAAUUGUAUAGAAAGAGCAAUUUUUUCGACAAAAUAGGAAAGUAUAUCAUCCUCAUUAGUGCAUGUCGAAUUGCAAUAAAGCUUGAUCGUAUAAACCUCAUUUACAAAACUGAUUAAGACAUUUGAUUCUUAGUUGUUUACAGUGGUUUAAUAUCUUUCUAUUUGAUGCCGCUUAAUAAAAACAAUUGGUAUAACUUUAAAAGUUGUUAGGGAAUAUUGAAACAGUUUACUUUAAAACUUAUAAGCAAUGACUGAAACAUGCUUAAAUGCCGGGCUUAGUAUCAAAGAUAGCCUUAUGAUUUAUUUGUUUGAUAGCUUGAACCCAGAUAUUGUGAAUUUUCUUGCUUUUCGCUUUUAAGACGAUGGGCUUAUCAGUUGUCUGCAUCACAAUAACUUCAUUAUGUAAAUUGGCGUUCUUUAAGGCAUCUGGGGCUUUUAUAAUAGUCAUUCCCUUAAUUUUCACAGACUUGACUUGAUUUUUCCUUCCUUUUUCAAUAAAUGGAUUUGUUUUAGACCAGCACAGCAUUUCACAAUGCGGGUUAAUCCAAAAAUAGCGCCAAUGACUCUUUUUAAACAUUUUGAAACUCUCACUUCUCGGGUACUUCAUCAUUUCGUUUCCCAUCAUGACAUGUUUCAUCAAUUUGUUCACAGAAUUUGCAUUACAAGUUGAAGAAGAUAAACCUGAUAGAUUCAAAUUAUCUCUGCAUUUUUUCGUAUUUGUUUUGCUUUUGAGAUUAUUGCGAGGUAAGGUGAAUACGUCUGACACCGUCGACAAGGAAAUAGAAAUCGUCGUAGCCGUACUUCUUGCUUUCAAUUGACGUGCUGAUUGCGAGGAAUCAUGCCGAGUUUUUUCAACUUCAGCUGUUGGAUAAGUACGAGUAUUCUUAGGUGCAGACGGAUAAGUUGACGCCUCCCAAUUAUUAUGUUUUGUAAAGUCUUUGAAAAGCAUUGAGGAAGUUCCGUUUGAAUGUCUUGAAGACAUAUUAAUGUCCAAAGUAACAUCAGAAGUUUCCAAUGAUUGACGUGAAGCAAUUGAACGAUUCUUAAACAUCGAGGAUUGAGCAAUUUUUUCCCAUUGUUCCCAGUCAUGCUCUUGAUAUGGGAUCUUUCGAGGAAAAACUGCCUUGCCUUGCCUCAUACAAUUCAUAGAUCCAUUGGAACAUAGCUUUUUCGAAUUCCUAACAUUACUGUGGGAAAUAUCCGUAGAUAAUCUAAAAUUCUUAAAUUCAGCUAUUUCUGGAUUACUAUAGUGGCGCAACCUCCGACGAGGAAUCGAGCAGUCAAUAAUAGCGCUAGUUAAUUUUCUUUUCAACCUCGUGGUAGCAACAUUUGAAAGCGCAUCGGUCCUUAGAAUGACACUAUUAGCUGAUGUGUCAUUUACUUCAUUUUUUAUUAAGGAAAAAACAGAGCUGAUAAAUUCCAUAUUCUUUUGCAGAUUCCACUGCAUGGAGAUUGUAUUUGCACCACAUACAAAGUCUUUGACAUUUUUUAGACAACAGAAGUGAUUCUCCAGAAUAUCAUGUUGUAUACGGUUUAAUACAUGAUUUCCAUAGGAAUUUAAAAUAGGUUUAACAAGCCUAUAAGAGGAGACGCGAUUGUUUAAAUAAUUUUCACGUCCACCUUUGUUUAAUGCAGGCAGGUAAGAAACAUCACGUUCGUAAAUAGAAGAAUGAUUUAAAAUGUUUUCUUUUAGUUUGAAAUUAGCAAAUUUUUCAGUAUCUUUCAAAUGCAUCUCAGUACUUGCAGACAUGUCGCAUUUUGAAGAAUUCGUAUCUAUAGGAAAUUUUUGGCGAGGUUCAAAUUGAGCCAAUUCAAAAAUUUCCUGGCGAUCUGAGCUUUUAGUCGGUUUGAAAAGUUUAAUGACUUGUUUAUUUUUUGAGUCAAUAUCUUUUAUUGAAAUUUGAGAGGUGAGAGAUUGAAAGAAUGACUGAAUAAGAUGAUUCAGAGAAAGUGGGUACAAGCAAGAAAGCUGAAAAAGGCCCAAGUUACUUUUCAGCGCCUUUUGUAGUUGCUGAUAAGACAAAAGGAAGCAAAUAAACUCAUCAUCUCUGUCGGUUUCAUCUUCGAUGUCUAUAGAGUUUUCUGGUGAUACUGCCUUGUUCAGAGACCUGAUUGAUUUCUUUAUGUCAGCUUUUGUGUUUUCAAUUAUUUCCGAUGAUAAAUUUGGAGACGGUGUUUUAGUAUCGUCAGCUACCAAAUGAUUUACACUCACUAACUCCUGUUUUGCUAAAUUGAUGGAUUUGAGAACGGCCGAUGAUUGAGAUACCGAAGUUUGUACAUUGGAUUCCAACGACAAAAAAGGAUCUAUUGGAAAAUCGUGUUUCUCUUCUUGCUCCGCAUCAAAAGAUGAACUAUCAAAAUACUUAUCCGAGGAAGACUCCAAAAAUACAGAAUCGUCGUUUUCAUCCUCAGUUACCAAAGUAUUUUUAGAAUCUUCACUUUCAUCUAUAGUUUCGCCUUUUUCGGCAUUCAGUUGAAGCUCGUGAAGGCAAAUUCUUAAAUUUGUUAAUUCCAAUGUCAGUUUGUUCUUCUCAUCGUUAAGUGAAACGGUCAAAGACUCUACUUCUGUCAAUUUUUUCAUUAAUCCUUGUAGUCUUUGUUCAAGCAAAUCCCUUUGUCCUUGCACCUUAGUCUUCUCUUUCAUAAGUGUUUUCAUGUUUGAAGAAAGUAGAUCAAGUUGCUUGAUUAAAUGGGCAUUAUCCACUGACAACUUUUUAUGCAAAUCUUCUUUCUCUGACAGUUGCAGCCUUAAAUACCGCAACUGUUGCAGAAGGUUUAAGCCAAUGUUAGUAGCAUAUUGUAGAUUGGUUUCAGUAACUGAAUAUUGAUCUACUUGAGAAGACUCACUGAAGCAAUUUGUGUUCUUCCUUCUUUCAAUUGCAAUGUCUUGACGUUGAAUAGUAAGCAUCUCCGUAAUUCUCACCUCCUCCUCCGCUAAAUUUUUUUCCAAGUCGCGUAAUUUAUAUCGAUUAUCAAAUUUGUUAUUAAAAUAUGUUUUAUUUUCCUUUUGAACCACUUGGUCUUUAAUUUCUUGUUCGAUUUUUCGUGUUUCACAAAGAAUGCUUUCCUCUAACGCUUUCGCAUAAGCAAGCUUUAUUUUUGCACUUUCAUUUCUAUUUUUUAAAUCAAUUGAAUAUAAUUCCACCUCGUUAUCUUGUUUUUUCUCCAUGAAGGAUCAGUAUAUGUUUUGGUAAGCUCAACUCUCUUUGUCUUUUAUAUAUCGAUAAACUCGUAAGCAUGCAUAUCGCAACAGUCAUCGUCUUGAAUACAUAAUUUUUAUUUCUGGAAUUAUAUCAAUUCAAUUCGUGUUCUCAUUUGGCAAAUUUCUCGUAUUACGCUUUAACAAUAAAAC